CGGGCCAUCGUCUAGUGGUUAGGACAUUAAACUUUCACUUUAAGAACGGGGGUUCGAUUCCCCCUGGCUCGA
rnacentral:tRNA from 1 species